UAGUCCACGCCCUAAACGAUGUAUACUCGACGUUUGGAUGAAUUUCUGGGCGUCCAAGGGAAACCAUUAAGUAUACCACCUGGGGAGUACGAUCGCAAGAUUGAAACUCAAAGGAAUUGACGGGGGCCCGCACAAGCGGAGGAACAUGUGGUUUAAUUCGAUGAUACGCGAGGAACCUUACCUGGACUUAAAUGUACGUUGCAUGGAUUAGAGAUAGUCCUUUCUUCGGACUACGUACAAGGUGCUGCAUGGUUGUCGUCAGCUCGUGCCGUGAGGUGUCGGGUUAAGUCCCAUAACGAGCGCAACCCCUAUCCUUAGUUGCCAGCGGGUCAUGCCGGGGACUCUGAGGAGACUGCCACCGUAAGGUGUGAGGAAGGUGGGGAUGACGUCAAAUCAGCACGGCCCUUAUGUCCAGGGCUACACGCGUGUUACAAUGGACGGUACAAAGGGCAGCUACCUGGCGACAGGAUGCUAAUCUCUAAAGCCGUUCUCAGUUCGGAUCGAAGUCUGCAACCCGACUUCGU
rnacentral:rRNA from 1 species